GAUCCUGGCUCAGAACGAACGCUGGCGGCAGGCUUAACACAUGCAAGUUGAACGGGAUUUGUAUGGUGCUUGCACCAUGUAAUGAGAGUAGCGCACUGGUGAGUAACACGUGGGAACAUACCUUGAAGUGGGGGACAACAGUUGGAAACGACUGCUAAUACCGCAUAAUCCCUGAGGGGGAAAGAUUUAUCGCUUUAAGAUUGGCCCGCGGGAAGAUUAGGGUAGUUGGUGGGGUAAAGGCCUACCAAGCCGACGA
rnacentral:rRNA from 1 species